rnacentral:rRNA from 1 species
AACGCUAGCUACAGGCUUAACACAUGCAAGUCGAGGGGAAACGACAUCGAAAGCUUGCUUUUGGUGGGCGUCGACCGGCGCACGGGUGAGUAACGCGUAUCCAACCUGCCCACCACUUGGGGAUAACCUUGCGAAAGUAAGACUAAUACCCAAUGAUAUCCCACGAAGGCAUCCGAAUGGGAUUAAAGAUUUAUCGGUGAUGGAUGGGGAUGCGUCUGAUUAGCUUGUUGGCGGGGUAACGGCCCACCAAGGCUACGAUCAGUAGGGGUUCUGAGAGGAAGGUCCCCCACACUGGCACUGAGACACGGGCCAGACUCCUACGGGAGGCAGCAGUGAGGAAUAUUGGUCAAUGGGCGGGAGCCUGAACCAGCCAAGUAGCGUGCAGGACGACGGCCCUACGGGUUGUAAACUGCUUUUCCGGGAGGAUAAAGUGAGCCACGCGUGGUUCAUUGCAGGUAUCCCGGGAAUAAGGACCGGCUAAUUCCGUGCCAGCAGCCGCGGUAAUACGGAAGGUCCGGGCGUUAUCCGGAUUUAUUGGGUUUAAAGGGAGCGCAGGCGGAGAUGCAAGCGUGACGUCAAAUUUCGGGGCUCAACCCCGUCUCGCGUCGCGAACUGCGUCCCUUGGUUGCGGGAAGGGGAGGCGGAACUCGUGGUGUAGCGGUGAAAUGCAUAGAUAUCACGAAGAACUCCGAUUG